UUGCAUAAUUGGAGAUGGGUUUUUAGGCUUUGCUCUUGAUGUUGCAAAGGAGCUUGGAAUCCCCAUUAUUUUUUUUCGUACCAGCAGUCCUUGUUGUUUCUGGGUUUAUCAUUCUAUCCCUGAUAUAAUCCAAGCUGGGGAGCUUCCUAUCAAUGGUAAAUCCAUUUCUUUUCAUCAACUUGUUUAUUGUACCAUGUUUAGCACUGUUUUUAAUUUAGAAUAACACAAAUAAAACCUUAAGUCGAAAUGAUUUUACAAGCAUGUUGAAGAAAUUAACAAGAAAGACGUUUGGAAUAUUCCUGUUAAUUAGGCGAGUUGAUUUGGUUUAAGUUGGAUUAAAUCGGAAUUUAAAAAUUUUAAAUCAUUUCAUGUUUGAAUGAUUUUGAGUUUCAAUUUUUUUUAAGAGGUUUGGAUUGUUUCCAGUUAAAAUCAUUUUGGGUUCUUGUCAUUUAGAUUUACUAAUUUAACUUUUAAAUUUGAGUUAUUUUGGGUCAUUUUGUUUCCGGGUCACUUUAGGUUAGCUAGCUGGGUUUUUUGUUUCAAUUUUCAAGUUGAAUCAUUUCAGGAUUGUUUUCAUUCGGGUUUAAUACUUAAGUUUGGACCACUUUGGGUAACUUGUUCCCGUUGUUUUUAAGUUCGAGUCGUUUAAAGUUGGGAUCAUGUUUGAGCUUAGAUCAUUUUGAAUUUGAGUUGUUAAAUUUCUAUGAUUAAAUAAAUUUGAAUCUGAUUUGAGUUUGAAUUAAUUGGGCUUGUGAUCAUUGACACUAGUAAAUGGGUUUUUGUUAAACAAUUGAAGGAAGUGAAGACAUGGACCGGUUAAUAACGACAGUGCCAGGCAUGGAAACUUAUCUUCGAUGUCGAGAUCUUCCUACUUUUUGUCGAAAACUGGACAUUGAAGAUUCAAGUAUGAAGCUAGUUGUAAAACAGACUCGAAAGAGCCUUCAAGCCGAUGCCUUGAUACUCAACACCGCCGAAGAGCUUGAUGGGCCUAUACUAUCUCAAAUACGCACCAAAUGCCCUCGUGUCUAUGCCGUUGGACCCUUACAUGCUCAAUUAAACACUAGACUCAAUGCAAAACAUGGAGAAUCAUAUGAUCACUUCUCGAAUACACUUUGGGAAGUGGAUAAAAGCUGCAUCUUUUGGCUCAAUAAGCAACCGAAUCGAUCUGUUAUCUAUGUAAGUUUUGGUAGCAUUACGAGCACGUCAAGGGAGCAACUUGUAGAGCUUUGGUAUGGACUUCUUAACAGUAAAACGAAGUUCUUGCUUGUUGUAAGGCCGAAUUCCGUCAUUGGAAAAGAUGGUGAAGGGGAGGAUGUUGUAAUGGAGCUUAUGGAGAAGAGUAAGGAUCGAGGUUACAUUGUAAAUUGGGCACCACAAGAGGCAGUCUUGAACCACCCGGCCAUUGGCGGGUUCUUUACGCAUAAUGGAGUCGACUUUAGAGAGCAUUGUCGCAGGGGUGCCUAUGAUUUGCUGGCCUCAGUUUGCUGACCAACACGUGAAUAGUAGGGUUGUGAGUGAGGUGUGGAAAAUAGGGUUGGAUAUGAAGGAUGUAUGUGAUAGCAAGAUAGUGGAGAAAAUGGUAAAUGAUGUGAUGGUGGAUCGAAAGGAGGAGUUUGCAAAAUCCGCAUCUGAAAUGGCUAAGGUAACCAAUCAAUGUGUUAAUGUUGGUGGGUCUUCUUAUAGUAAUUUGGACUGUUUAAUUGAAGAUAUUAGAAUAAUGAGCUUGAAAACUCACAAAAAAUGAUAGCUUCUUAAUAACUCCCCUUCGAUAGUAGCAACAAUACAUCCCCCAGUAAACAGAAAAGAAUUGGAGAUGACUUUUUAUUUUUAUUUUUUUCUUAAAAAGUGGAUGCAUUAUAAGAUAGGAUUUUUUUUUUUACACUAUGAGUAUGAAGCGGUUAUAAUAAUUAUUUUUCUUGUUCCGCCCUACCCAUUAUAUAAAGUUACCAUUUUACCCUAUAUAUUUGUUGAUACAAUGUACAACAAAAAAGGAAGAUAAGGAGGAGAUCAAGAUGGUAUAAUGGAGGUCAAUUCAUCUAAAGAUUUCAAGAGCCGAAACAAGAACAAGAAGAUAGGCUGACCAAGAAGACAAUUGCUCAGAGUAACUCUAGGGUGCUAAAAGAAUGAUCUUUUUACAUCAUUUCUUGGAAUAUUUCCUCUUGUUCACUGGUAUGACAUGGCCAGAUAAACAUUCAAUCCCGCUAAAUGUGUAAAGGGUAUUUAUAGGCAUAUGUCAUGAGACCUUAUCAGUAUGAGAUUAUUAUCCUAAAUGGACUCCUUAUCAUAUAAAAAGUGCGUUCAUGCUAGGAGAAUGUUAAUACUUAAAAUGGGCGGAUGGCUCUCUCCGAGAGGAAGAGGUGGUCUGUCAAAAUGUUACUUCAAAUGAAGUUAAUAGGAGGUCUACGAUGCAUCUGGUAUUGACAUGUGUUCGAGGAACAAAGAGGUAUAGCAACAUUAAAAGAGUAAAAAUAUAAAAAUAUGUUUAAACCUUGAAUUACUUAGUUCAGAUUUAGUGAUUUCUGACAAAUUUUUCAUAAUUAAAUUAGUGAUCAAAUUGAUCAGACAACCGUUUCCUAAUUCAAUCGGUCCAAUUAAUUGGAUCAAUCGAUUCAAUAAAAAAUAAAUUAUAAAUAUAAAAUCCAUUUUUUUAUAAAUUUUGAAAUCUCAAAGUUUUGUAAGUCCACUUUAAAACUAUAUAUUGCCCAUUGAUUGAAAAUUUGUAAAUCCACUUUUAAAGAAUUUAAAAGUUCCUUGCAAAUAUGCAACUCAUCUCUUUUACUCUUUAGACUUGUAAACUUCUCUUCCACUUCCUUUUUGUCUUUCCCUCUUCUCAUUUAUUCUAACUAUUUCUUAAAAGAUCGGUUUUUUUCUAUUCUUUUCUUCUUCUCAAAUACUCAAGUCUCUUUGGUAUCAUUUCAAAUCUCGGAUUGUUCUUCUUUUCCACCAAAUCUUAAGAGGCAAAUCUGGUUGUAACAUGGUUCACAAGAUAGGACUCAAAAAUAAAAUAAAAAUUGAUAAAAAAUUAAUUAAAAACAUAAUAAUAUAAUACUAAAUAAAAUAUUGGUUUAAUCGAUUUUUUAAAGUUUCUAAACCCCGUUUAAUUAGGUUUUAAUUUGUUCAUAAUAGUUUGUUCAUAACAGUUCGCUUAUUAUCUAUUUUAAUAAGAAGUGUCGGAUCGUUAAAUCUAUUAAUUUUCAAUUCAAACAAUUUAGCUAAUCAAUACAAUUCAAUUUUGACAACAUUAAUUUCUGAUUUCUAGUUGCUAAUAUAAGAAAAUUAAGAUAAAUUAAUUGCUAGAGAAUUUUUCCUUUUUACUUGGGAGGGUUGUUCCAAGUAAUCAAAAUUAUGUUUCAAUUUCUUUUAAAGAAUUAAGUUUAAAAUAUUAAAAAUAAUUAAGAAAAAUCAAAAUGAAACAAUCGUAUGGUAAAAUGAGAAUGGAUAUAUUUAAUAAAUUAUAAAAUUAAAUAUCUAUGAUGGAACGAAAUAGAUAAUAAAAUAAUUAUUAAGAUUUAACAAUAUUUGCUAGGUGUUGUUACAUUUUCAUCCCAAUGGAGAGCAAUGUUAUGUUGAAUUUACUUUUUGGACCAACAAUUGAGAAGUCGGCUUUGUUUGGGAUUUUUUUAUUUUUUUUUAUUUUUCAGAAAUGGUGCAUGAAAGGGUCGAUGAAAAUGGGUAAAUUGGCUAAAUCAUGUGACAGUGUCGGUGGUCCUUAUUAUUGCAAUUAUGAUAAAAUCAUGUUGUAAUAAAUAAUUGCAGUCACCUGACAUGCAAUAAGAUGUAAUCUUUCUGAUUUCUUUUUGCAAGUUUUAAAAGUGCGAGUUUGACAAUGUUGUCAUUAAUUGCAGGCUGAUUUGAUGCAAAUGCAAUUUUUUAUUUAUAAUAAUCAAAACUAUAGGAUUAUAUUAAAGUAUUUAUAAAUAAAUUGUGUCUAGUGCUCUCAUCUUUUAGAAUAUCUUAAUCUCCAUGACGGCUAUCAAACAUAUAUAAACUUUCAUCAUUUAAUAGGGUUAUUUUUGUUAAUACGUCUGUAAUUUUGUUAUUCAUUUUAGGAACAUAUCUCAAUAAUCAUAUCUUUUCGUUAGCAAGAAUAUGUUAGAGUCAUCUUAAUUAAAGCAGGAUUAGUUCUUUGAGGCUUGUUAUCGCUAAUAAUUGCUACGACUUUGAGGUUAUCAGAAUGAAUGGUGAUUUCAUCAUAUCAUUGUUUUUUAAGUAUGUGUAAGUCAUCUAAUAUGUCCUAAAACUCAGCAGCUACAACUGAACACUUCUCCAAAAAGCGAUUAUAGCCUAAAAUCUAAUUUCUCUUCCCAUCACAUAUUACUCUACCUAGAGUGAAAAAACCAAAAAUAGAAUUAACAACACCUUCAAUAUUAAAAAGAAAACCCAUACCUGAUUCCAAACGCUUAGAAGAUUGCUGUAGAUCCAUCAGCAAGACUUCAUUAUUGACUGAGGAAUAUUGCUUUGCCCAAACUGUAGGAAACCUUAAUAAUUUCCUCUAGAUUCAUUAAUUUUCCUUGGAAGAUGAACAGGUUACGAUUUUUCCAAAUGUGCCAAAGUAUUAUCCCGAAGAAGUAAGCCCCGACUGAAUCUCUCAUGUUAUUAUUUGAUUGGUCCUGUAGAUUCAAGAGCAACCAUUCCGAAAUAUUACCUCCAAAGAACCAUUUAUUUUGAUUGGGGGAAAUGAUUUGAGUCCAAAUAUCCUUCGCACAUGGACAGUCCCUAAGAACAUGUAAAACAUCCUCUGUAUGGUGACCACAAAGAAAACAUGACUCAUCAUGACCAAUUCCCCUUCAGACCUUUUCAGAGUUAGUUAAAAGUCUUUGCUUUAGGAUUAUCCAGAUGAACUGUCUAACUAUUUGAGGGCCUGAAAUUUUUCGAACGCUUUUCUGAGUGUCAUUCUUUGCAUUCCAAGACUCCUCAUUUAGCAUCUAAUAUGCACUUUUAAUUGAGAAGACAUCGGUAGUAGUUUUAGACCAAGAAAGAGUAUUUACCCCUGCUGACUCUAUGGGAGGUGGAAUGCUACUGAUACAUUGGAUGACUUCUUCUGGGAACCAUACCCAAAAUAAGUCAAAGUUCCAUGUACCAUUUUCUAUUACCAUCUCAUUCACUUUACAAUUAGAAUAGAUAUUCACAUGACUUGGGACAUGAUUAAUUAAAGGUCCCACAUUAUGUACCCAAGCAUUCUCCCAACAACGAACAGCCCGUCCAUUACCCACUAACCAAAUCAUAUUAUUACACAGUAAAGGCCAAACAUUGACCACAGAUUUUCACAUGAAGGAGCAUCUAUGUCUCAUGAUCCAAUCCGGCAUAGUCUCAUUAAUUCCAUACUUUUUUGUAAUAACUCAAAAUUUUCGGGCAUCAAAAAAGUGAGUUGUCUGGUCUUCAUUUUAGUAAAAUAGAUUCGUAAAUAUUUAUUAAAAAUAUUUACGAAGUUAGCUGUGAGUUUAAUUAGGUUAUGGUUAGGUAAAUCAACUUAAAAUAAGAGUAACUAGGAAAAAUGAUUAAAUUGCAAUAGAGGUGAAAGUUUAAUUAUAGAUUAAAGAAAGUUAAAAGGACCAAAUAGGGAAUUAUGCCAUUUUCAAAUAUUGAGGCGGUUUACUAUAGAAAUAUCAAAGAUAUUUUUUUAUUAAAAUAUAUUAUAUUAUAUUAUAUUAUAUUAUAUUAUAUUAUAUUAUAUUAUAAACAAAAGAAAGAAAAGAAACAAAAACAAAAUAGCAAACAAAAACAGAGAAGAAUAGGGAGAAAAACAAAGGAGGAAAGAAAAAAAGGGAAAUUAGGGUUCCAAGCUAAUUUGGUAAGUCAAUUUAAUUCAUUUUCUUGUGAUUUUUGAGUUUUUAUGAUCCUAGAACAAAAUAUUAUUAGGUAUAUAUUGAAAUUUUGAAAGUUAGUAGAUUUUUGGAUAUAGUUUAUGUUGAAUUAAUUGAUGAAUUAAGGAUUUAAUUGAUAGAAAUUCUAAAUUAGAAUUGGAAAAAGGAUUAAAUUAUGGAAUAAUUUAUAAGUUUUGUGUAAUAAGGACUAAAUUGUAAGAAAUUUGAAUUUAGGGUUUUGUGAUGAAAUUUGAGGGUUAAGUUAAGUUAUAAGUAGAAAUUAAGUGAAAAUAAGGUAUAGAUUUUGAUAGAAAUGAAAAUAAUUUUGGUUAGGGAUUAAAUUGAAAUUAAGGUAAAAAUUGAAUAGAAAAUUUAAAUAUUUGAUGUGAUUUGAUGUUGUAUUGAUAAUUUUAACUUAUUUAAUAUUCAUAGCUAACAUCUGCUGGAGACAUCGACCAAGAAAGGAAAGGAAAAGUCGACAAUGAGUGAUUCGAAAUUACAGUUUGUAUUACUAUAAUUCGAAUUUAGUUAUUAUUUAUUUUUGAAUUUUAAUUAACGUGUGUGGUAAGUGGAAUUGAGGUAAGAAAUGAUAUUGAAUUGUGAAUUAUGUGAAUAUUUGAAUGUACAUUGAUUGGAAAUUGAAAGUUAUUUGAAUUGAAUUAAAUAAGUUAUUAUGAUACUGAAUUGAAAAUAUGAGAAUUUGUGAUUGGUAUGAAUUUAAUUGAAAUUGAAUUGAGAAAGUGAAUUGGAAACCCUAUUAACUAGUUAGGCUAAGUCAGAUAUAGUUGGCAUGCCAUAGGAUUGGAAAUGUUCAGGGAUACUUCGACCUCGAGUCGAUGAGGCACUAUAUGUGUCGUAUUAUUGCUUCGGAUAAUUCUGAUGAGGCACUAUGUGUCGUAUUAUUGCUUCAGAUUAAAUCCGAUGAGGCACUAUAUGUUGUAUUAUUGCUUCGGAUUAAAUUUGAUGAGGUACUAAGUACCGAUUCACUUCGACAAGGCUGAUGAGGCAAAAGGUGUUGUACUGGUGUGCUUGGUUGGAUUCGUGUAUCCGUCAAAGUCCGAGUCAAGUUAAUAGGGGUAAAUGAAAGAAUUGGAAAUUAAAAUUGGUAUUAAAUGAAUUGAUAAACCGUAUGAUUUUGUAUAUGAAUUGGAAUGAGAUAUUGAAUUGAUAUGUGAAAACGAGAUGUUUGAACCAUAGGUUCAUGGAAUGGAUUUUUGAUGUAGUGAAAUAAUGUAUGAAUCAAAAUGGAGAAAAGUUAUUUGAAAUAGCUAUUGUUAAGAAAUGAAAGUUUAGUGCAUAUUUAUUUAUUUAUUUUGCUUUUAAAAUUUGUAUUAUAGUAAUAUCACUGAGUGUAUAUACUCAGUGUACGGUUGUUUCCGUGCGCAAGUUAGUUGAAGUCAAAAGUUUCGGAUCAGCACCCAAGCCAAUCCCAAACUCAGCAAAGUGGUGAUGUAUAUUCUCUUUUGUAAAAUGGCAUUUACCUAGGUUGAUUGUAUAGGUCAUUUUGAAACAUGUUUGUGAAUGGUAUUAUAAAUUAACCUUGGAUGGUUAUAUACAAUAUAAAUAAAAAGUUGAGAUUAUGAAAUGGCAUGUUUGGGUUAUUUUGGUAUGGUAUUUGAAUUGGAUUGAAUGAAAUCAAUUGAAUUGAUUUGGAUAAACAUAUGAUAUAUUUAUGAAAUGUAUGUAAAUUAUCUGUUUAAAUUUCAUAUUUGAUUUGAUAUGUCAGGUAAUACCUCAUAAUUCUAUUUCGGCGACGGUUUAGGGUUAGGAGGUGUUACACUUUUCUCUGAGAACCCUAACCUAUAAAGCUUCAGCCUUGGUGAUAAGACUGUAACUAAUUUUCAUCAUAAAGGUUUUAUUUUGAUCGCAUAGACAAUGAAACCCAAGACCUUCACGUGAUCUAGGUUCGCAAAUGGAAUCCCACCCAACUAAAGUCAUUUUCUUUUUUCCAUCAAAAGCACCCCAGAUGAAUUGCCUUGUCAUUUAUUUGAUUAAAUCACAAAUGCCCUUCGGAAUCAAAAUAGAUUGCAUGAGAUAGCUCAGAAUAGUCAACAGAACUGUUUGUGCUAGUGACCCUCCCUGCAAAAGAAAGCUUUUUAACGUCCCAGCUAGAUAAGCGAUUACGAACUCUUUCCACUAAGAAAUCCAAAGUGCUUUUUGUAACUCUUUGAUAAAAAAAGAGAGACUCCUAAAUAAUGCCCCAUAUCAUUAACUUCUUGGAAACCAAAGAUACUAUUAACUCCCCUCUUUAAAUAUUCCUUAAACUAGCAGAGUAAAAGACAUUAGUCUUCCUAGCAUUGGCAUUAUGACCAGAAAGCUCACAAAAGUUAUCCAAAAUUUUUUUAAGAAAACCACUGUGCUCCAAAUUAGCUCUAUUAAAAGUCACUAAAUCAUCUGUAAAGAAAAGAUAGAGUUUUGGCCCUACAAGUUAUAAUCGAAUAAGGCUCCACUCUUCUGACAAAAUAGUCGAAUGAAAGCGAUGCCCCAACCACUAUAUGCAAACGAUGAAAAGGUAUGAAGACAGGGGGCAGCCUUGAAGAAUUCCCCUUACAGGCUUGAAUUUGGAAGUUAGAGCUCCGUUCCACAAAACCUACAUGGUAGACGUCGAAAUAACAUUCAUAAUAACAUGAAUAAAAUAAGAAGAAAUACAUGCUACAUGGAGUGAAGCGUCUACGAUCAUAAGCUUUCUCCAAAUCAAUAUGGAUAACCAUCUAUGGAGAUUCUUCUUAGUUUUCAUAGAGUGUAAGACUUCCUAUGCAAUGACUAUAUUAUCAAUGAUAUUUCUUCCCGCUAUAAAUCUCGCUUGUUCUUGACCAAUAAUCUUCGGAAAUAUUCUUUUAAACUUGUUUGCAAUGACCUUCAUUACCAACUUAUAGUAAAGAUUAAUGGGUCUAAACUGCGAGAAAUUUUCAAGAUUUGGAACUUUAGGGAUUAAGACAAUAAGAGUGUUAUUAAAAUUUGAGUCAAUAAUUCCACCUUCAAAAAUCUUCCUCACCUACUCACAGAUAGCUCAUCCUAUAUUAUCCCACUGAGUCUGAAAGAACAAUUAUCCCACUGAAAAUGACCACUUCCUAAAGCUUUCAGUUAAGCCAUAUUAAAAAGGGUCAUCUUGAUUUCUUCAUUAGAAAUAGCCCUCCCAAGGAAAUCAAUAUCCUCUUGGUUAAUAUUCGGAAACCCACUUAAACGUAAAUUCCUUACCGGGCCAAGAGCCUUCCACAAAGAUUCUGAAAGAAUUUAACUACUUAUGUUUUAAGGACAACAGUUUCAAAGAUCCACCACCCAUCUAAAUUACAUAAAGCAGUAAUUCUAUUGAAAUUUCUUCCCUAAAUUGUACGUUUAUGAAAAUACUUGUUGUUAUGAUCCCCUAGUUUUUACCAUUCGCAUCUCAAUUUUUGUUUCCAAGGUAUCUCCUCAUGAUAAAGAAUAUUUUCAAUCUCUCCCCGGACCUCCAAUUUACACUAGGCCAGAUAAUUAGUACCAAACAGGUCCAUCGCUCGUUAUAAAUUAGAGAGCUUAUGGGUUAACUAAAUUUUCUGGUGAUUUUAUAUGGCCAUAAAUGCAUUUAUUCCAAUAUUUGAGUUUAUCAAUGAAACCAGCUAUCGUACUUGGCAUAUCUCUAUAAAAAAUCCAAUUAUCUUUUACAAAUUUUAAAAAAUUUGGGUGCUUCAACCAUCUAGCUAAAAAUUGAAAGGCCGGUAGAGAUUAAAGUCUAGACAAAGUUUUAGAAAGAGAGGCUUAUGAUCUGAUUUAAUUCUGUGUAGGUGAGUAACCAAGCAGUUUGGAAAGGACUCCGUCCAAGCUUCAUUACCCAAAGCCCUAUCCAAUCUCUCAAAAAGAUGACCCCGAUGCCAAGUAUAAGGAUGGCCCUAAAAGCCCAAAUCAAGAAGUUGAGCCUUAUCCAUAAAAUCACCAAAAAGCGAGCAUCUGUAUCCUUUCAAAUGAACGCCUUUUUUUCUUCCGAAAAAAGAAUGACAUUAAAAUCACCAAUGGCCAGCCAAGGAUAAUGCCCACACAGAAUAGAAAGACUUAAAUCUCUCCACAAUUCUUUCUUUUUCUAUCUAUCAAGACUGUCAUAAACAAAGACAAUAAAUAUGGGUUGGGAUUAGAGAAAAGAACGAAUACGAGCCAGAAUAAAUUGAGGUUGAUGACCAACCACCUCUAGAUCAAUUGAAUUUUUCCAACCUAACCAAAUACCAUCAGAAAAGCUAAUCGCUUCCACUCAAUGGGAUUUUUCAAAACCCAAUUUAGCAAUGAUAGCAUUAGCUUUAGCCCCACUAGCUCUAAGCUGAAAAAGGUUGACAAUAUAUGGCUUAUAAUGACUAUUAUAUUCAUAGGAAUUUAUCAUUUGCACACCCCUGCACAAUCCAUGAUAGGAUAGAAAAAAUCAUAAUAAAAAAUUAUUAAAAAAGGGAAAAAUAACUUACCUUAAUGACGACCGGUUACAGAAUUAUCCAAUCGCUCUCUUUCUUCCAACGGCACGUCUUUAACCAGAUGCAGCUUGCCCACUCCUCCAUAGAUAAGUUGCUUCGUCCCUUCACUUUGGACCACGAAAUAAAUCCCUCUCUGACCUUGUUUUUCCUUUAGAUUGUACAUAUACUUUAAUAGUGAGACAUCAAGCUAUAUGUCCCUUUGCCCAUAUUUGAUUAUGAAUCCAAUUAUCAACCACCAAGAGCUUCCAACUAGCUAGCUGGAUGCCAACAAUUAGAAUUCAGCAAGUUCAUGACAAACUGGUGAAGAAGCAAGAGAAACCAUGCCUCUAACAAAUACAAUGGCAGAUAGAAUCUUGGCAUUCCCCCUUUGUAGUUUGGCCUAAGCAUGAAGCUCAAAUAAUGCUUCUUAUCCAAAACGCUAAAUUCAUAUUUAUGAUUGUUUUGAAUAAGCCCUCUGCACCUUAACACCCUCUGUAUUUCCCGCUCUAUGGUAAUACACAUAUACUCUCCACGUGCAACCAUCUUAUCUACAACCAUCUACUCUUCAAGGAUUUUCCCUUUAUUACUCUAAAUCAUUGCAAUUCCCCUAAGAACCAUUGUCGUUCCCUUAUUUUCGACGGUGGAAAACCUACCCCUGCCCCUUUGCGAUGAAACUCUACCCACUAUUCCUCAUCUCCUUGCUAGUCUAACCAUGUUUAACUUGUCGAAACGGCAAAAAUGACGAUGAAAAGUUAAAAAUUUCAAAUUGAAACCACCGAAAAGGAACUUCAAAUAGCAUAAUAGCAAGAAAACUUUGAAACCCUAAAAUGACAAAAGUAAUUUCAAAGAAGAUAGCAAACCAGAUUUAUAGAACUCUUGAGCAUACUUAAACGCACCGUUUUGAGAAAAUUAGCCAUAAACAUGUCAUAUAGCCACUUAUGUAGUGUCAAAUGCUCCAUAUCAUGGCCACUUUUCUUAAAAAAACUAUGUAUAUAUGACAGUUACUCUAGAAUAACUCUAGUGCUUCUUUGUCUUCUCUGAUAGAGUAAGUUAU
rnacentral:lncRNA from 1 species